rnacentral:rRNA from 1 species
UACGAAGGGGGGCUAGCGUUGUUCGGAAUCACUGGGCGUAAAGCGCACGUAGGCGGAUCUUUAAGUCAGGGGUGAAAUCCCGAGGCUCAACCUCGGAACUGCCUUUGAUACUGGGGAUCUCGAGUCCGGGAGAGGUGAGUGGAACUGCGAGUGUAGAGGUGAAAUUCGUAGAUAUUCGCAAGAACACCAGUGGCGAAGGCGGCUCACUGGCCCGGAACUGACGCUGAGGUGCGGAAAGCGUGGG